CACAGAGCUAAUAGUUGAAGCAUAAAAGAGGCACACUAGAACAAAUCACAGAGGAGAGGUGGUAGAGCAGUGGGAUGAGUGACGUAAGUGUGGCAGAGUACCACCGUGUCUGAUACAGUGCAGGCAGAGCUUGCUGCCAGUUUAACUGAUCUCAGAGCUUUGUAGGCACCCGCACAGAGUACUGCUAGAAAGGGUCUGAAGGAUGGAAAUUGUACCUCCUUAAAACAUGGAGUUGAGUUUUAUUCUGCAGCAUAGAAUCAGUGCUGAAUUGCUGAAGCUACACAGGAGAGGAUGAUGAUGGAGUUUUCGUUCCUGCUCGUGUUUUGAAUAUCACAACCUCCCCAGCAAAGUAAAUGCAGAAAGGCACAUACAGACCUAAUGCUGCAGCUGCCCAUGGCUUUAGGAAGGUGGAAAAGAUGCACCUCCACUACAAAAGGAUGAGGACUGGGCCAGUGGGAUGUGCUGCAGGAACUGGGAUUCCGCAGGAAGGUUUUGUCGUGCUAUGAAGGUUGCUGGGGAUGAUAGAGAAGCUGGAAAGUCUCUGAGGUGCAGACAAGCAUGCAUAAAUCAUAUCUGUGAACCAAAAUCAAUCCCUAAGAAACGAUUUUCCCCCAGGCCGAAUUGGCUAUGGAAAUGGCAAAUGCCUUCAUAUCAGUUCUCAAGCCUGCAAGCUGGGUUGUGACUGCUUCCUGCUGGUGGAAUCAGCAUGAAAUGAAGGCCAUGAAGUGAUGGUAAACCAUUUCUUGUGUCUGCCAUAGCAAAUCAAGUGCUUUCCUGUCCAUCUCUCUGGUAAGUUCUGCGUACUGUCAGUAUCUGUAAUUCAGACCUUUUAAAGGUUUUUAGGAUGGUUUCUCAGUCUUUUCUAGGUUCUUUCCUUCCCUCCCCCCCUCCCGCCCC
rnacentral:lncRNA from 1 species